GUUGUCGUGGCCCGAGGUGGUUAAGGCGAUGGACUAGAAAUCCAUUGGGGUCGUCACCGCGCAGGUUUCGAAUCCUGCCGACAACG